AAUCCGCUCUUUAAUCUGAAGACGUGAUGUGGACUGAAAAUAAGUAGGGAAGCACGUGAGCUGACUGUCAAGAAAAGCCGCUAUUGUUUGCAGGAUACCCGUACCGUAAACCGACACAGGUGGAUGAGGAGAGAAUCCUACGCCGACGGGAGAAGCAUUGUUAAGGAACUCGGCAAAAUGACUCCGUAACUUCGGGAGAAGGAGUGCCAGUAAGAUGGCCGCAGAGAAUUGGCCCAAGCAACUGUUUAGCAAAAACACAGGUCUAUGCAAAACCGAAAGGUGAGGUAUAUGGGCUGACGCCUGCCCGGUGCUGGAAGGUUAAGGGGAGAGGUUGGCGCAAGCGAAGCUUUGAACUUAAGCCCCAGUAAACGGCGGCCGUAACAAUAACGGUCCUAAGGUAGCGAAAUUCCUUGUCGGGUAAGUUCCGACCCGCACGAAAGGCGUAAUGAUUUGGGCACUGUCUCAACAAUGCACCCGGUGAAAUUGAAAUACCAGUGAAGAUGCUGGUUACCUGCGCCAGGACGGAAAGACCCCAUGGAGCUUUACUCCAGCUUGAUACUGGGAUUCGGUAUUGCAUGUACAGGAUAGGUGGGAGGCUAGGAAAUGGUAACGCCAGUUGCCAUGGAGCCAAUGUUGGGAUACCACCCUUGCAGUACUGGGUUUCUAACCAGCAGCCGUGAUCCGGCUGGGGGACAAUGUCAGGUGGGGAGUUUGACUGGGGCGGUCGCCUCCGAAAGGGUAUCGGAGGCGCUCAAAGGUUCCCUCAGAAUGGUUGGAAACCAUUCGAGAAGUGCAAAGGCAGAAGGGAGCUUGACUGCGACACCGACGGGUGGAGCAGGUACGAAAGUAGGACUUAGUGAUCCGGUGGUACAAAGUGGGAUUGCCAUCGCUCAACGGAUAAAAGCUACCCUGGGAUAACAGGCUUAUCACUCCCAAGAGUUCACAUCGACGGAGUGGUUUGGCACCUCGAUGUCGGCUCAUCGCAUCCUGGGGCUGAAUUAGGUCCCAAGGGUUGGGCUGUUCGCCCAUUAAAGCGGUACGCGAGCUGGGUACAGAACGUCGUGAGACAGUUCGGUCCCUAUCCGGCGUGGGCGUAAGAUAUUUGAGAGGAGCUGUCCUUAGUACGAGAGGACCGGGAUGGACUGGCCGCUGGUGUAUCUGUUGUCUUACCAAAGGCAUAGCAGAGUAGCCAAGCCGGGAAGGGAUAAACGCUGAAGGCAUCUAAGCGUGAAGCCCCCCUCAAGAUGAGAUAUCUCAUAACGUCAAGUUAGUAAGACCCCUUGAAGACGACGAGGUAGAUAGGGCAGAGGUGGAAGUGUGGUAACACAUGGAGCUGACUGUUACUAAUAGGUCGAGGGCAUAACCU
rnacentral:rRNA from 1 species